AUUGAACGCUGGCGGCAUGCUUUACACAUGCAAGUCGAACGGCAGCGCGGGCUUCGUCCUGGCGGCGAGUGGCGAACGGGUGAGUAAUACAUCGGAACGUGCCCAGUAUUGGGGGAUAGCUCGGCGAAAGCCGGAUUAAUACCGCAUACGACCUGAGGGUGAAAGCGGGGGAUCUUCGGACCUCGCGCUAUUUGAUCGGCCGAUGGCAGAUUAGCUAGUUGGUGGGGUAAAGGCCUACCAAGGCGACGAUCUGUAGCUGGUCUGAGAGGACGACCAGCCACACUGGAACUGAGACACGGCCCAGACUCCUACGGGAGGCAGCAGUGGGGAAUUUUGGACAAUGGGCGAAAGCCUGAUCCAGCAAUGCCGCGUGUGUGAUGAAGGCCUUCGGGUUGUAAAGCACUUUUGGCGGGAAAGAAAAGGACUGUGCCAAUACCACGGUUCGAUGACGGUACCCGCAGAAUAAGCACCGGCUAACUACGUG
rnacentral:rRNA from 1 species